GCCAGUAUGGUUUUCAUCGGAGAAUUUUGGAGCCGAGAUUAUUUUUGAAAAGAAAAAUUUGUUGACGUAAGAACAAGCGUUAGGAAAAAUUGUGAACGUGGUUGAUUAUCCAGUAGUUUAACCUCGCAUAAAGUAAUUAAACUAAUUUUUUUCGAGGAAAUUAGAAAAAUACUCUUGUAUCAUUAAGGCAAUAUCAGUUGAUAAGUCUAGUUUUUCGUUAAAAUUAAUUUUUCUUAAUAAAAAAAACAGUUUCCUUUGCAUCCAACCCAAUUCAAUUUGUAGUUGUAACUUCUUAAGACUAAAUAAUGUGAUUUUGCACCUCUCAAAACAAAGAGAUGGCGGAUUUCAAACCGCAUCUGCUAUUCACAGCCGAUAUUUGAUUUUUAAGUAAUGAAGCAUUUAUUCCAAAUUACUCGAGGAUGAUAAUGAAUGACACUUGCUCAGAAUUUUAUGCAAAACUCCUGACCAACAACAAAUUGCUCGAAAAUCUUCACUCAUCAGUGAGUGAGAGAGGUAUCUGUAUAUAUGACUAGGAGCAGUAAUGUAAAUAAAAAAUACAUUGUUUGUAUUUUUCCCUAAGUAAGAAAAAGUAGGGGAUCCCAUUUCUUUUUAUAUGAAAAUCUGGUCACUCUGGAUAAGGUACCUUUCCUCAGUCAUGCUGUUGAGUGGAGCCCUAUUUAAUUUUAAGUAUCUUUCUAGAAUAUAAUUAAAAUAAAAGUGUGUGAUGCAAGUUAUGAUAACCCAAAUGCCUUGCCUCGCACUUACUAUAAUGAAAGGUAAUUUGCUAAAUAAUUGUCUAACUUGCCAAUUGAUCCACGCACAUAUGCAGAGGGGUUUCAGCUGAACCCCCUAUUUUGUGAUGUAAAAAAGGUUAUGCAUAUAUGAUUAUAUUUAUACUGUUAAUGUUAUAGUGAAGCUGCUUAUGCCAUGGUAAUUGCUGUUUAAUGUUUGUGGAUUUUAUGUGAAAAGCCAUGCAAUUCUUUAAACAAAAUUGCUUCCAGAGUUAAUUUCGUAGCACCUAUUUUAUACAAAUAUUCUGGGGGGGGGCAUGCCUACAGACUCUCCCAUAGCAUUAGAACGCUUUGUAUGCUGAUUGUGCCUUGCACAAUAUGAAUAUGUGUUGGCUUUUGAUCUUGCAAAUUAGAACCCUCCUUUCAAACAUUCUGUGUACGGGCCUGUGAUCCAAAUCAUUCUGUAAGUUAAAUACACCUCAACAUCUUCAAUAUAGUUAAGAAAUUCCUAAGAGUUUAAUGUUGUCAGCAAACUGGUUAAUAAUGUCCCUAUUUGCAGAAAUAUUGAAUAUAACUUAUAAGUCAAAAUAUGUUAUCAUUUCAAUGUAUAGGUCACUGGUUAGGCUUCAUUUGGAGUAUUGUGACUCCUUACUUUAAGGACAAUGAACUGUUGAAAAGAGUUUAAAGGAAGACUACUAGAAAUUAGAAUGAUACAUGAGAUGAAAGUUUAUCACAUGAAGACAGGUUAAGCUCUCAAAAGAAGAGUUGAAAGGGACCUGAUUAAUGUGUUCAAAUUGAAUAAGUGAAUUGACAGUGGUGAUGUAUCAUCCAUUUUUUUAUGUAGUAUUAAGAAUGGUAGGAAAAGGAAGCAGAAAUAUAAAAUUUGGCAGUGUGGGAGUUAUAUUCAUCAUAGACAGAUUUUACUUUCAGGGUGGUUGGCCUUUGGAAUGGGUUGCUUUCAGAUAUGAUAGAUACAGUAAGUUUAAGGGAAUGUUUAAUAAAUAUUUAAAUGAUCAGGACUGGAUUUGAGUGUGUUUUCUUUAAGCAAGUAGGACAACCUUAAUGGGCCAAUAGGCCCUUUGUUGUUUUUUAAAUGCUAUGUAAUAUCAUUGAUGUAAAUAAGAAAAAGCAAAGUCUCAAGCAUUGAAUCAUGAGGCAUACCACAAUACUAGUAACAAAAAUCCAGUUUGACUAAAUUUUAUUAUAAAAAAAAUUACUUUUUUCUCAUCAAGCUACUCUACAAUCUAAAACAUCAGUUUUUCUCCAACCUCCAUUGAUGUGACUUCCUUAGGUAAUUUUUGUGGCACAUUAUCAAAAACUUAAAAAUUGAUUACAAGUCAAAAGAGGUAAUUAUAAAAAACACUAGGUAGGCUUCAUUUGAAAUACUGUGUACAGAUUUGGUCUCUCCACUCAAGAAAGGAUUUUGACUUAUGGGAAAGGUUUUAAAUAACAUAAGAUAAUAUUAAAGGACAACAAGAGACCCUUUGGUCCAUCUAGGCCCUUCUGUUUAUGACAUUAAACACUAAAAACUUAAAGCCAGCCCUUAUCAUUCAAAUGUUUAUCAAGAUUUCCCUUAAAUGAACAACAUGUACUACAUCUGAAGGCAACACAUUCCAAAGGCCAACAACCCUGUUUGUAAAAUAAAGCUGUCUAAACUGAUAAUGACUCCUACCCUACCAAAAUUUAUAUUAUGUUCCCUAAUCCUACUAUUGUCAUUACUGAAUAUGAAAAAAGAUGAGACAUCAACACUAUCAACUUCCUUAACAAUCUUAAACACCUUGAUCAGAUUCCCUCUAAUUCUUCUGUUUUUCAGGAGAAAACAAUUUCAGAAAUAUUAACACAUAUUAUGAUUGACAACUUUUUCAUCCUAAUUGUCAUUCUAGUAGCCCUCCUCUGAUGCCUUUCCAACAGUUUAGUGUCAUUUCUAAGGAAAGGAGCCCAAGACUUAACACACUACUCAAAAUGUGGCAUAACUAAUGACCUAUACAAUGACAUUGUAACUUCUUUAGACUUGUAUUCAAUAUUGCAUGGAUGGCUUAAUAUACUGAUCAGAAUUAUAUUCAUAAUUCAAAUUGAAAUAUCCAACCUUACCUUGCAUGUAUUAUAUUUAAAAGCUAUUUACCAUUUAUGAAGCCAUGCUAACUAUCCAACAAAAUUUUAAAACUUAUUUAAAUGACUUUGCAAACCAUCUUUUUACCAGACUUUCAAUAUUUUUUUCCAUCACUGAUGUAAAAUUAAUAGGUCUAUAAUUACAGGGACAGUUUUUAUCACCUCCCUUGGAAAGAUGAGUAACAUUAACCUGCUGGCACCUAACUGCUUUUUAAGGACUUUGAAAAAUAGUAGCAAGUGGCUCACAUAUCCAAUCCUUAAUCUUCUUCAAACGUGUUUUCAUCUGGCAACUGUUCAGGAUGAGGAAUAUUACUUAAAUCUUAUUAGUAAAAAUUGAAUAAAAAAGUAGAAUUUAAUAACCCAGCCAUCCCAUAAUCAUCAGAUACUAGCUUUCCUACAUCAUUCCUCAUUGGCCCUACUCCCAUCUUAAUAUUUAUUUACCCUUAAUGUAUUUGAAGAAGUCCUUACUAUUAAUUUUUACAUUUUCAGGAUAGAAGAAAUAAUAAAUGAACAGUAAAGAAAACUAUGACAAAAUGAAAUUACAAUUAUCUAUCUCGCAUCUUUUUGUAAUUUGGAACUAAAACCUCAUUAUUCUUUAUCUCCAUAUGCAGCAAAACAUCAAAUCUAAUUGAGCAAUGCCCACUAGCAACCAGAUUUUCUUCAAUUUCCACCUUAUCAAUCAUUUCUUGAUUAGAAGUUAAUAAUAAAUCUAAAAUAGCAUUGUUCCCUAAACAUUUGUUGAAGAAAACGAUACUGAACAGUUUCUAAAACUGUUUCCCAUAAUUUGCACCUCAUUAUCAGUUGAAUUCUACAACAAAACAUAACAUGCAAAAUAUGUACAGGUCACUGGUUUGGCCUCAUUUGGAGUAUUAUUUUCAGUCUUGGGGUCCUUACUUUAGUGAAGCAAUUGAUAUUUUUGAGGGAAUUUUACAAUUGCUUCAGUAUUUUUAGCAUCUUAAGGGCAUUGAAGAAAUAAGUUAUAACAAUUUUCUGAGUUUUUAAGUGAACAUGUACAUGAAGAAAUGGCAUAAAUAAAAGACGCCUGUGUUACGAACUAAGGCCAAGAACUAGGAAGUGCAGCUAACUGGUUAAGUGGUAUUGAGAAUCACGAGUUAAGAGUUAUAAAAAAUGAAGCUACAACAGAGAUGUUGAGAAAAAUGCUAGCCACAAGUUUGACAGUGACAAGUUACCGAUGCUGAGUUAGUGGUAUGGUAAAGGCUACUAAAAAGUUUAUGAUAACAUUUCAAAUCGGCACUUUGAUGCGAGAUCUGUUACUCCAGACCAGUGUAAUAGUACAAGUGAAAAGGCAACCGUAGCACUCACCAUUACAGUAACCAAUUACUUGAGAGUUUUGGUUCUUGUUUUGGACUAGCUCGGGAAGUUGCACAGAUUGACCAGUAAAAUGUUAGAAUUAUUUGCGGGUAGUUAGAAAUACUAUUUGGAAAGUUGAAAAAACACAAAGAAAAUAUGGUUUAAAAACUCAUGUCUGGAGCUAAAAAAUCAGAAUUCUCUCCACGAAGAAUUAAGUUCUCCCAGGGCUGACAAAAAGAUCUCCAGAAGCUAUCUCCAAGUAGUAGCAGUUAUCUCCACUAUGAACAUGAAUAUCUCCAGAAAUACAUUGGUUUGACUUGUGAGCUCCACUUGCCACUGCAAUCCUCAACUAAAUAAAUUGGGUGUAAUCGGCAGUAUAAUUGAAACUCCAACAAUUAGCCCUGAGGGUGCCGCCCAUUACAUUAGAAAGGAUAUUGAAUUGUUGGAAAGGAUGAUUCCUGGAAUGGAAAGGUCGUCCCAAGAAGACAGGCUUCUGAACAAUGGGUGAUACAUUACUGAACCCAUGCUUUUCCUUUAUUUCCAGCUGAACAAUGGGUGAUACAUUACUGAACCCAUGCUUCUCCUUUAUUUCCAGCUGAACAAUGGGUGAUACAUUACUGAACCCAUGCUUCUCCUUUAUUUCCAGCUGAACAAUGGGUGAUACAUUACUGAACCCAUGCUUUUCCUUUAAAUUUUUUGAUUAGUCAAAAUUGGGUUCUUAUUUAUUCCAAGUAUGUCUCACAUUGUGUAUUGGGAACUACCAAGAAAUGGUCAACAUUUGGUCCCUGCUGAAAUGAAACAACUAAAACCUGUUGUUGCUAUUGGACAAAGCACAAAAAAUUCACAUGUGUAUGCAUAAAAUGCUGAAUGAGAUAACCAAGCAUAACAUCAAAAUAAAUUAUAGAUUUGGCCAGAUAAAUCUUUAUUUAUAUUAAUAGUAAGAUCUGUUCAUUUCCCACCCUAAAAUCUUAAAUAUCUCCAAACCUUCUGAGGCAAAUUAUAAAAGGUUUGAAACUUUUCAUUUUUAUUACUUAGUGUUCUUAAAUAACUUCUACUGUAUUUUACUGUGUGUUUUCUAAGUAUAGUUUAUAAUAAAUUUCCACUGUAUUAUAAAUGAAGACUAAUUUGUUUACAUAUAUACAUCAACAUAAUUCACACCAGAAUGAAAACUUAUCACCUGAGUAUUAUGCAUAGUCUUGGUACUUCCAUUUUGAAACUUAGUUCUAAGAAAUUAUAGCACUCACAAACCUUGGUAAAGCUUCUUACAAACAUAGAAGUUUGGAUUCGAUGAUGAGGAACCCACUUUGAGACUAAUAAUGCUUGGA